rnacentral:rRNA from 1 species
UACGGGGGGAGCAAGCGUUGUUCGGAUUCACUGGGCGUAAAGGGCGCGUAGGCGGCCACCGCAAGUCGACUGUGAAAUCUCCGGGCUUAACCCGGAAAGGUCAGCCGAUACUGCGGGGCUAGAGUGCAGAAGGGGCAACUGGAAUUCUCGGUGUAGCGGUGAAAUGCGUAGAUAUCGAGAGGAACACCUGCGGCGAAGGCGGGUUGCUGGGCUGACACUGACGCUGAUGUGCGAAAGCUAGGGGAGCGAACGGG